UUAGUAACGCGUGAGAAUCUAGCUUCAGGUCGGGGACAACCCCUGGAAACGGUGGCUAAUACCGGAUGUGCCGAAAGGUGAAAGAUUUAUUGCCUGAAGAUGAGCUCGCGUCUGAUUAGCUAGUUGGUGUGGUAAGAGCGCACCAAGGCGACGAUCAGUAGCUGGUCUGAGAGGAUGAUCAGCCACACUGGGACUGAGACACGGCCCAGACUCCUACGGGAGGCAGCAGUGGGGAAUUUUCCGCAAUGGGCGAAAGCCUGACGGAGCAAUACCGCGUGAGGGAGGAAGGCUCUUGGGUUGUAAACCUCUUUUCUCAGGGAAUAAAAAAAUGAAGGUACCUGAGGAAUAAGCAUCGGCUAACUCCGUGCCAGCAGCCGCGGUAAUACGGAGGAUGCAAGCGUUAUCCGGAAUGAUUGGGCGUAAAGCGUCCGCAGGUGGCACUGUAAGUCUGCUGUUAAAGAGCAAGGCUCAACCUUGUAAAGGCAGUGGAAACUACAGAGCUAGAGUACGUUCGGGGCAGAGGGAAUUCCUGGUGUAGCGGUGAAAUGCGUAGAGAUCAGGAAGAACACCGGUGGCGAAAGCGCUCUGCUAGGCCGUAACUGACACUGAGGGACGAAAGCUAGGGGAGCGAAUGGGAUUAGAUACCCCAGUAGUCCUAGCCGUAAACGAUGGGAUACUAGGCGUGGCUUGUAUCGACCCGAGCCGUGCCGGAGCCAACGCGUUAAGUAUCCCGCCUGGGGAGUACGCACGGCAAGUGUGAAACUCAAAGGAAUUGACGGGGGCCCGCACAAGCCGGUGGAGUAUGUUGUUUUAUUUCGAUGCAACGCGAAGAACCUUACC
rnacentral:rRNA from 1 species